GGAAAUGUGCCCGAAUUAAUAAGGGCCACUUUGAUAGAGUGAAACACAGAGGUUAAAAUCCCCUCAUUUCCC
rnacentral:tRNA from 1 species